rnacentral:tRNA from 1 species
GGUGAAGUGGCUGAUAAAGGUGAUAGACUGUAAAUCUAUUAAUGGGGUAUAUAUAUCUCCUUCACCA